AUUAGAUCCGAGUUCGCGAACCGCCAAGAGUCAGCCGUGUCCGUGCUACGGGCAGCAACAGGCAAAAGGGAUAGAUUUACAAAUGUAAAAUAUGGCCACAAAAAAGAAAUGAACCAAGUUGAGGUUUAUAUGUUUCACGAACGGCAAGCAUUAUGUGGCCAAGAUAAAAGGGGCUGCGGACAACCAACAACAAUGUGAGACGCGGCACAAAAGUACACAAAUUGGAAAUUUAUUUAAAUUUUAUGCCCCGCUACAACAAGUAGGAAUCGCCGCACAAAGCUCGAGCACACGUUGACCAUGAAAUACGCAGCAGGAGCAGCAGCAACAGCAGCCGUGGGAGCGGGUGUUUGGCUGGCAGCUCGAGUCGACAUCGUCGCCGUUGGCAACACUGUGGCAACUGCUAACGACUCGCCCUCGCAGUUGCCACAAACACAGAUAGGAAGCGGAACAAAGUGCGCGAGCGAGACGGCGUCUGCUGUGUGCAACAGCCACUGCGGCAAACUAAUGAAAAGCCAUAAAAGCCAAACAAGUGGCACACUACAUUUUAUGGCAUUGCGCGCAGUUCAAUGCCGCCGGGUUCGGUGAAAGUCGCCGCAGAUUCGAAGGCACUAAAGCGCCACUUAGCACUAAAGCGAGCAGGACUCAACCUCAAAAGCAGCAGAAGAUAAAAAAAUUGGAAAACAACACGUAAUUACAAGAGCUUUCCUGCCCGCUGAUGACCCGCAAUCUGGAAGCUGUGGGCCCCUUUGAUUCUAACGUAAAUUCGAAAAUAUUUAUUUUAAAAAAUAAAAAAACAA